AUUGAACGCUGGCGGCAGGCCUAACACAUGCAAGUCGAACGAGUGGCGGACGGGUGAGUAAUGUCUGGGAAACUGCCUGAUGGAGGGGGAUAACUACUGGAAACGGUAGCUAAUACCGCAUACCAUCGGAUGUGCCCAGAUGGGAUUAGCUAGUAGGUGGGGUAAAGGCUCACCUAGGCGACGAUCCCUAGCUGGUCUGAGAGGAUGACCCUCCGCACUGGAACUGAUACAGGUACCAGACUCCUACGGGAGGCAGCAGUGGGGAAUAGUGCCCAAUGGGCGCAAGCCUGGUGCAGCCAUGCGGCGUGUAUGAAGAAGGCCCUCGGGUUGUAAAGUAAUUUCAGCGGGGAGGCGUUACCCGCAGAAGAAGCAACGGCUAACUCCGUGCCAGCAGCGGCGGUAAUAC
rnacentral:rRNA from 1 species